AGAUCCAUGAUGGAGUGGUCUUCACAUCUGCUUGACAAGCAGAAAAUCCUGGGUUUGAUUCCCAAUGGAACCA
rfam:Myotis davidii contig220620, whole genome shotgun sequence.